AUGAGGCGUCGGGAGGUGUGGGGCCGGGAGAACAUUGCUCUGCCUGGUUUCCUAGGCGGAGGCAGGUGUGUUGUCGGCAGAGACCCUCACUCAGGCCAAGUGCGUGAUGUCUCUUCUUCUUCCGCAGACGCCGAGCCCGGCACCCGGGAACCUGUUCCGGACGUGCCGCUCCCAACCAUGACUCCCAGCACCGAGGAGGCUGACCACGACCCCGACCACGACCACGACCACGACCACGACCACGACGCCGAGCCCGGCACCCGGGAACCUGUUCCGGACGUGCCGCUCCCAACCAUGACUCCCAGCACCGAGGCUGACCACGACCAUGACCACGACCACGACGCCGAGCCCGGCACCCGGGAACCUGUUCCGGACGUGCCGCUCCCAACCAUGACUCCCAGCACCGAGGCUGACCACGACCACGACCACGACCACGACCACGACCACGACCACGACGCCGAGCCCGGCACCCGGGAACCUGUUCCGGACGUGCCGCUCCCAACCAUGACUCCCAGCACCGAGGCUGACCACGACCACGACCACGACCACGACCACGGUAGGGGCCCGUGUGCCUUGUGUCCUCUGCCCCUGGGAGCCCGCUGGGCUGCCGGGGCUCCUUGAGCGAGAACGGGCUUUCCUAUUGCCUCCGGGACCGGGAAGGUGUCGCCAUGCGAUUCCUUGUCCCGAAACGCUGGCCUGUGCUCUGGAGCUGCGGGGACGUCCUCGGGGCUCUGCCCGGGAAGGAUGUGCUCCCUGGGGAGAGAGGGGCCGCGGUGCGAGUCAGGCGCUCCGAGACGGGGCCGUGUGUCCUCCCGGGUUCUCUGGUUGGCUGCACGCUGCCUGGGCCUGUCCGCAGGUUGUCCGUUUCUCUGCGUGGUGGUCUGCUAAGCCGUGCGGGAGGGGCGUAGGCUUCCCCGCCCCCCACGUCUGCUCCCGCCAUGACCCCGGGGGUCUGGUGCAGCACGCCCAGCCCGCAUGCCUGGCGUUGCCACGGAGGCUGCGAGUGCAGAAGCCUCAUGGGACCCGGCGUGGAGUGCCCCACUGCCCCUGGUGGCCCAGUGUGCGCAGCGGACUUAGGCGCGGGCACGCUGGGCUCCGCGAGGAUGGUGCUCUGUGCCUCUGCCUCUCCUGAGACGUCCUUGCCUUCCUCUUGGCGUUGGCUGGUCUCCGAGCUCCCGGGACAGCGUCCAGGAGGCGUGGCCGCUGCCUGAGGACAAGUCCUCGAUGUGCCCUCUGACGCUGGCACGAGCGUGUUCUGGACCCGUGCCGUGCCCCCAGGCAGCUGGGGAGUUGUCUGCCUUGUAGUGCGGCGGGCCACCAGGAGAAUCUGACCCAGUGUCCUGGAUGGGCCAGUUCCCAGUCGUGCGCUCGUGGCCCAGACCAGACCCGGGCUGGUGUGUGGAGCCAGCCACGCGGGCCCGUCUGUCCUCCGUGCCCUGAGUGGGCGCAGAUGAGAGAGGGCGCGGUUGCUCCGUCCGCUUUUCUCCCCUCUCGCCCCCACGCGGGGAGCCGUCCAGCGGGGCCUGGCUGGACUGAGCCCGUGCCGGACACGGUGCUCCGUUGCCGUCCUGGAGGGCCCAGAGGAUUGC
ensembl:lncRNA